UACGGGGGGGGCAAGCGUUGUUCGGAAUUACUGGGCGUAAAGGGUUCGUAGGUGGCCUGCUAAGUCAGACGUGAAAUCCCUCGGCUUAACCGGGGAACUGCGUCUGAGACUGGCGGGCUUGAGUACAGGAGAGGAACGCGGAAUUCCAGGUGUAGCGGUGAAAUGCGUAGAUAUCUGGAGGAACACCGGUGGCGAAGGCGGCGUUCUGGACUGUUUCUGACACUGAGGAACGAAAGCCAGGGGAGCAAACGGG
rnacentral:rRNA from 1 species